rnacentral:rRNA from 1 species
CCUACGGGAGGCAGCAGUGGGGAAUAUUGCACAAUGGGGGGAACCCUGAUGCAGCAACGCCGCGUGGGUGAAGAAGUACUCCGGUAUGUAAAGCCCUGUCAGCAGGGAAGAAAAUGACGGUACCUGACCAAGAAGCCCCGGCUAACUACGUGCCAGCAGCCGCGGUAAUACGUAGGGGGCAAGCGUUAUCCGGAUUUACUGGGUGUAAAGGGAGCGUAGACGGCAAGGCAAGUCUGGAGUGAAAGCCCGUGGCCCAACCACGGGACUGCUUUGGAAACUGUGUUGCUGGAGUGCAGGAGGGGUAAGCGGAAUUCCUAGUGUAGCGGUGAAAUGCGUAGAUAUUAGGAGGAACACCGGUGGCGAAGGCGGCUUACUGGACUGUAACUGACGUUGAGGCUCGAAGGCGUGGGGAGCAAACAGGAUUAGAUACCCCAGUAGUC